UGCACGAUGGCUGCAGUCUUAAUUAUGUUGUUUCUUUCGCAAAGCGUUGAUGGUUUUGACUUAGGAGAUAUCAUAAUGCAACUAACUGAAUUUAUACAAAGGAUUUUUAACAGCACUGCCAUACCACUGGUACGACAAUUUGAGCGACCAACAGAAAACCCUCUGGCGGAAUGGAUUUAGCAUGUUUCGACGAUCAUUGAUUGUGA